rnacentral:rRNA from 1 species
AAAGCUCCUUCGACGAGUCGAGUUGUUUGGGAAUGCAGCUCUAAAUGGGAGGUAAAUUUCUUCUAAAGCUAAAUAUUGGCGAGAGACCGAUAGCGCACAAGUAGAGUGAUCGAAAGAUGAAAAGCACUUUGGAAAGAGAGUUAAAAAGCACGUGAAAUUGUUGAAAGGGAAGCGCUUGCAAUCAGACUUGUUUAAACUGUUCGGCCGGUCUUCUGACCGGUUUACUCAGUUUGGACAGGCCAGCAUCAGUUUCGGCGGCCGGAUAAAGGCUCUGGGAAUGUGGCCUUCACUUCGGUGAAGGUGUUAUAGCCCAGGGUGUAAUACGGCCAGCCGGGACUGAGGUCCGCGCUUCGGCUAGGAUGCUGGCGUAAUGGUUGUAAGCGACCCGUCUUGAAACACGGACCAAGGAGUCUAACAUCUAUGCGAGUGUUCGGGUGUCAAACCCCUGCGCGUAAUGAAAGUGAACGGAGGUGGGAACCGCAAGGUGCACCAUCGACCGAUCCUGAUGUCUUCGGAUGGAUUUGAGUAAGAGCAUAGCUGUUGGGACCCGAAAGAUGGUGAACUAUGCCUGAAUAGGGUGAAGCCAGAGGA